rnacentral:rRNA from 1 species
GAUGAACGCUGGCGGCGUGCCUAAUACAUGCAAGUCGAGCGAACGCACGAUAAGCUUUCUUCCCUGAUGUUAGCGGCGGGCGGGUGAGUAACACGUGGAUAACCAUCCUCUAAGACUGGGAUAACUUCGGGGAACCGGAUCUAAUACCGGCUCAUAUUUUGAACGGCAUGGAUCAAAAGUUAAUGACGGUUUUGCUGUCACUAUUAGAUGGUUCCGCGCUGCAUUAGCUAGUUGGUAAGGUAACGGCUUACCAAGGCAACGAUGCAUAGCCGACCUGAGAGGGUGAUCGGCCACACUGGAACUGAGACACGGUCCAGACUCCUACGGGAGGCAGCAGUAGGGAAUCUUCCGCAAUGGGCGAAAGCCUGACGGAGCAACGCCGCGUGAGUGAUGAAGGUCUUCGGAUCGUAAAACUCUGUUAUUAGGGAAGAACAUAUGUGUAAGUAACUGUGCACAUCUUGACGGUACCUAAUCAGAAAGCCACGGCUAACUACGUG